UUAAAAUGCAGUUUAUGGUGUAACACUUGAUUUUAAAAUGUCCUAUGUUUGGAUAGCAGUUGGCUCCAGAAGAAUCAUGCCUGAAUUUGAUGUCAGGGUCAGAUGCCUCUGUUAUAGAUAGUUUUAUAUGCCCUCUAUUACACUACUAAUAUACUAAACCCCCCAUGGUGUGAAAUAUAAAUAAAAUGUGAACGAACCUGAUUCAGAUGUUAGGGUCAAAUGUCUUUCUUAUAAAUGCUUUUUUAUGCUCUUUUUUUGUACCACUAUAUUAC